CCCGUUGGGGGGGUUGAGACAUCUUGUUUGUUGAUCUAAGCUCCUAAACAAAGUCUCACUCCUUUCAGUCUGCUUUAACUGUAAUAGGACUACAAAACUGAUGAAUCUUUCCUACAUUGGCCCCUAUAGUAGUGGCUGUACUUUGGGAAAACCAAAACAAGGGAGAAUUUUUAUCUCGGGACACACCUGGAAAACUCUGAUACAAAAACAAGUGAAAUCAGUAUGUAAGCUUUUGCCAAAUGUUAAGCGGGCUGCUGGCAGUGAGGAGGAAAGCAGCAGUUCAGAGGAGCCCUCCACUAAUGAACAGACCACCCAUGUCUGUAAAAGUCCCCUGUGGGAGCUGGCUCAUGCCAGGUGCGCACCCUGUCACAACAGUGAACUUAGCUGUUUUCUCUCCUGAUGGACAAUGCCAAGCCUGGAUAGAAACCCCGUGCGCAAAUGUACAAUGAGAAGGUGGAGGACUGCUGGAAAAGGAGGAGCAACAGUUCUGCCUUGAGGCCUGCAGCUGGAUAUCCCUCGGUGGAGGAUGUAACGCGCAGCACGUGAGUUGCCACAGAUUUCGCCCUUGUGCUGCGUCAGGCUCAGUGGGUACGUGUGAACUAUUAAUAGUCUCUGUUCAGUCGGUCACAGGGAGGAAGCGAGCCUCAGUGUCGCUGGCCUCCCCAGCCUUGAUUGCUCGGCGUGUGGAGCAGCCCCAGGUGUGCAGUGCCGCGCGCCAGCUGCCCCCGUAAAGGGGUGGGUGUGGUGACACUGUCCUGUCCCUGAAGCAAUAGGAGCAAUGGUAUUAGCCGCUCUGAGUCUGAGAUCUCCCAAGGUUUCUGCCUCCUCUCUCCUCCCCAGGUAACUUACCCCCAGAACCAUUGCAUCUGUGUCACCCGCACUGACAGCGUUUCUUCCGGGACUGUAAGUAGCUUCCAGAGUUACGGCACAAGUGAUUAGAGGUGCACCUCCCUUCUCCCCCUUCUCAUUUUAAGAUCAGUGUGUUGCUCCCAGCUAGUCCAAGAACAAGCGUUGGAGGGUGUUCCUGAACUUAGCUGGAAGUGCCUGGGGCUCUCACCCAAGGCUGUGGCACCAUCCUGUCCUGGAACCAAUAUUUUAUUCGUGAAGUCUAAUGAGCAUUGGUGGGAAUUUUGUUUGGUUUUUAUAAGAAGUAUUUUACAUAUGGAUUUUUUUAGACUGUUUAUAAUCUCCUUGAAAACCUGAAAUAAUAGAAUUGUUCCCCCAGCAAUAGUUCUUCUCCACUGUGUGCACAUGCUGAUUUGUUACUAAAAGGUUUCUUGCAAGUACUUAGUUGUUCUACAGAGUUGUUGUUUUUUGGGGUAUGUGGUAGCAUUGGGGACCACAUGAGGAAUGACUCUGCAAACAAAGAAUGGUCAAAUUUGGGCCUCAUCUUGUGUCCCCUUCUAGUUACAUAUGAAAGAGUUCCCUGUGUAGAUUCUCUAUAGGCUGGCUGAAUGCUGUUCUGAACAUGCCAUGUACAGGUAUUUGUGGAUAAAGUGUUUGUUCUUGUGUCACUCUUGAGAGCAUGGAUGGAUUAUUGUAAAAUAGGAAGGAGGUGGCAGUGCUGCUGUUAGCAUUGCUUCAGGUCUUCGAGGAUGUGUAGUAACUUGCAUUGUUUAAAAAAAAAAAAGGAAAAAAAAAAUCCAAAAUUGACUUCUAGCCAUAAUGGUUUUUCCAAGGAAAAUGGACAGAACUCUGUUACUUUUCAGUGUCCUUCAUCUUGUUACUGAAGGCAUGAACAAGUGAUGAUCAAUCUGAAGGCUUUCAGAGUUGCUUUGAAUUGAAUGAUGUGGAGGUAAGAUUAGGACACAGCUUUUCCUUUGUCCUUGGCCUUUGUAUUAAAGGGCAAAAGAGGGUCAGGAGUACUUUCCUGUUGUCUUGGUCUGAUACGUAUUAAGCCUUGAGGCUUUGAUUACUGACAUUUACUAUUAAAAAGGAUAGAAAGGCUGGCUGGAUCCCAAAAUGCCAGCCCAAAGAAUAUUGGACACAUUGGUAAUGAGACUGGCUCUGUUGUGGUCAGACUGAAUAUAUGGAAGUGCAAUGAUUUAGCCACCGGUUCUUAUACUGUUGUGUGCGGUGGCAGCAUCAGAACUAGCAAAGAAAUUGAUGCACCAAUCCAGGAACAGUUGUUGUCAGAUCUGGAAUGUAUUUGAUGGUAAGACAUUAAAAUUCCCUUGUGGAGCUUGCCCCAUCAUGUUCUCUGCGAGCAGAGACCUAAGUCACUAUGGUUCAGCAAAUUUCAACUGUAAUGUUCUCUAAUGCACUAUAGCACAGUUGGUGUACUCAAAAGAAGCUUCUCUUAUUAAUUCAGGUGCCUGGCACUCACUAGUUGGCACGCUUCUGUCAAGGCUAUAGACAACCAUUGUGCACCUUGUACAAGUAUUACUUUUAAAAAGAUGAAAAAUCAAUUGGUAUUUUCAUGGGGGCAUGAAAUAGCCAUCAAAAACUAAAGAGAUGAGUUUGCACUCCUAAAGAAAAUGUAAGUACUUCAACGUCUAGAUAAUUUUUAAUUGUAUUUCCGCCUAGAGCCAAGGUAUUAAAUACCUUGUCACUUGAGGAUUUUAAAAGUUGUGUUGGGAAAUGAGUUCUUCACCCAGCUGUAAGAAAUUCAGCUGGCCCAAGACUAACUUCAAGAUUAAAAAAAAAUAAAAAAUCAUGUUUGUAAUACA
ensembl:lncRNA